rnacentral:lncRNA from 1 species
ACCAGACAAGCCACAUGUGGGAGUGUCCACCCCACUGAAUGCCCCAGGCAAGGGCUAUCAGAUG